GGCAAGGUGCCAGAGUGGUUAAUGGGUAUGACUCGAAAUCAUAUGGCUUCGGCCGCACAGGUUCGAAUCCUGUUCUUGUCG
rfam:Trichoderma harzianum strain T6776 Scaffolds0026.1, whole genome shotgun sequence.